GACGAACGCUGGCGGCGUGCCUAAUACAUGCAAGUUGAGCGCUGAAGGUUGGUACUUGUACCAACUGGAUGAGCAGCGCACGGGUGAGUAACGCGUGGGGAAUCUGCCUUUGAGCGGGGGACAACAUUUGGAAACGAAUGCUAAUACCGCAUAAAAACUUUAAACACAAGUUUUAAGUUUGAAAGAUGCAAUUGCAUCACUCAAAGAUGAUCCCGCGUUGUAUUAGCUAGUUGGUGAGGUAAAGGCUCACCAAGGCGAUGAUACAUAGCCGACCUGAGAGGGUGAGCGGCCACAUUGGGACUGAGACACGGCCCAAACUCCUACGGGAGGGAGCAGUACGGAAUCGUGGGGAAUGGACGAAAGUCUGACCGAGCAACGCCGCGUGAGUGAAGAAGGUUGUCGGAUCGUAAAACUCUGUUGGUAGAGAAGAACGUUGGUGAGAGUGGAAAGCUCAUCAAGUGACGGUAACUACCCAGAAAGGGACGGCUAACUACGUG
rnacentral:rRNA from 1 species